rnacentral:rRNA from 1 species
CCCUUAGAUGUUCUGGGCCGCACGCGCGCUACACUGACGAUGGCAACGAGUUUUUCCUUCGCCGAAAGGUGUGGGUAAUCUUUUGAAACAUCGUCGUGCUGGGGAUAGAUCAUUGCAAUUUUUGAUCUUGAACGAGGAAUUCCUAGUAAACGCGAGUCAUCAGCUCGCGUUGAUUACGUCCCUGCCCUUUGUACACACCGCCCGUCGCUACUACCGAUUGAAUGGUUUAGUGAGGACUCCUGAUUGGCGCCGCCGCCCCGGCAACGGAGCAGCGGACUGCCGAAAAGUUGUUCAAACUUGAUCAUUUAGAGGAAGUAAAAGUCGUAACA